rnacentral:lncRNA from 1 species
AUUACCAGUUUAUGGAAUUAUGGUCAACCAUUAUCUUUUUAGGUGGAUAAGUUCAUUUUUUUUUGCAUGCGAGAAAUACUAGCAUGGUGAAGGCACCUUGGUUGCUGUACUGAGAAGCAGUUGCAGUCUUGGCUCAUGGCUGUAUUUCUAUUUGAAGUUUCGCAUUGUGAUUUUUUUUAAUAAAAAAAAUUGUUGGAUCAAAAUAAGACAAGCCUGUUAUUGCUGGUAUAAACAGCAAAUGAUAGUAGCAGCUUACUUUAGAAGUUUCCUCAAGAUCAUACUUCUUAGCAGAACUUUGUAUCAUGCCUUGUGGCUCAUGGGUAAGGAUGAUAUUUUCUUAAGUAUGUAGACGUUGAACCGACAGAGUGAGAUCGACACACAUGAUUACACCAUCUGUUUGAUUGACUGCAGAGCAGAGAAGAUGGUUUCUUUAUAGUGGGAAUUUCGGGGUGUAUCCUUGGAUCUUUUAUCUUUUUAACAAAACAUACCAACAGAACUAGCAAACUAGAUCCAUAAAUGACAGUUUUGAGUUAAGGAAAUAGUCUCUUGACUCCAUAUAUCAAUUUUUAUUCCAAGGGUAUGCUUUCUAGUAAUUUUAAGAAUAUGCCAAUUAUCUUACUAGCUUUCUCACCUUUAUAAAUAUUAUAACCCACCGCCCCCCCUC